ensembl:lncRNA
AUAGAGCUGGCAGACCAGAACGCGCUCCGGACCGUCAACACAGCUGUCAGCACACAAAUCCCAUCCUAAUAAAGUCAGAGGAAGUCAGAGCCCGUGUUUACUGGGAAAACCAUCCCAUCGGAGGUCCGAGCCGUCGACCAGGCCUUGAGCAGUUCACUGUUAUACAGCCUGUGCACUUUAAUAUUCCUCACGGAUCUGCUCUUUUCAUGCCGUGCUGAAGAGAGCGGCGUUUCUCUGUCUGAGCUUUCAGCAAUUAUCUCGGACACCUGAAAAUGAAGCUGCGUGUGCAAUUAGCGUGUCACAGCAUGUUUUCUCUCCAUAUAAAUAGCAGUGCAAGGU